rnacentral:rRNA from 1 species
GGCGUAGGCGGAGGUGUAAGCCAGACGUGAAAGCCCGGGGCUCAACCCCGGAAUAGCAUUUGGAACUACAUUUCUUGAGGAUAGGCGGAGAAAACGGAAUUCUGCAUGUAGUGGCGAAAUGCGUAGAUAUGCAGAAGAACACCGGUGCCGAAGGCGGUUUUUUAGCUUAUUUUUGACGUUGAGGUUCGAAAGCUAGGGGAGCGAACA